GAUGAACGCUGGCGGCGUGCCUAAUACAUGCAAGUCGAGCGAACGGACGAGAAGCUUGCUUCUCUGAUGUUAGCGGCGGACGGGUGAGUAACACGUGGAUAACCUACCUAUAAUACUUGGAUAACUUCGGGAAACCGGAGCUAAUACCGGAUAAUAUUUUGAACCGCAUGGUUCAAAAGUUAAAGACGGUCUUGCUGUCACUUAUAGAUGGUUACGCGCUGCAUUAGCUAGUUGGUAAGGUAACGGCUUACCAAGGCAACGAUGCAUAGCCGACCUGAGAGGGUGAUCGGCCACACUGGAACUGAGACACGGUCCAGACUCCUACGGGAGGCAGCAGUAGGGAAUAUUCCGCAAUGGGCGAAAGCAUGACGGAGCAACGCCGCGUGAGUGAUGAAGGUCUUCGGAUCGUAAAACUCUGUUAUUAGGGAAGAACAUAUGUGUAAGUAACUGUGCACAUAUUGACGGUACCUAAUCAGAAAGCCACGGCUAACUACGUG
rnacentral:rRNA from 1 species